AACCCUAAGUGCCCCCACGACAACAUCAUAUUCUCUCCUCCAAAGAAACUGCCGCCCCAAAUGUGAAGACUGAUUCUUCCCUAAACUUCUCCUUCCCACUUCUUCUGCUUCUUCAACUUCUUCCCUAAACAAUUUGCAGCAAACCAGCACCCAAGGACAGCUGCACGCAGCUCCAAGGAAACUGCACGCUGCGCCCAUGGACAGUCCUCAUCACCCAAUCAGUUUCAGUUGCAGCAUAAAGAUGUACGCCGCACCCAGCCACAUUCGCACGAUGCUACUUCCAGGCCACGGACGACGCUGCUUCCACGGCUCAAAGAUAGCCGUACGCCGCACCCAACCGCAACCGCUUGCUGCUGCUCUAUCGUUCUCAAAUUGUUGAAGAAACCAAGGCAGCUGCUAUAAUAUUGAAUCUGUGCUAAAGAAAAGGAAGAGAAGUGAGGAAUGGUCAUUGUUGAAGAACCAAGAGCUGAAGGUAAAGAAGGAUGAAAAUGCUUAAAAUAGAAAGAUAAUCUUUAAGAGGGCUGAGCAAAAUAGCAAAGAAUACAUAGUAAAGGUAAGCAACGAAACUGAAUCAGAAGCUAAAGUGGUUUUCCUGUUCCCUGUUCUCUUAUUAAAAUGUCAUUAUUUUUGUUCAAUGUCAUAUAAUAUUCAAUGUCAUAUAAAUCUUUUAUAAUUUUAGGGCAGUAGUAGUAAAGUGAAUUUAACAAAUCAUAAUGGGUUAACUUCAUUUCUUUCCAUUGAUAAGCAACAUUCUUUUGGUUCCAUUUUUCUUUUGAACUCAAAUACGAUUUACUAGCUAGUCUGAGUAUCUGCCAACCAUGUAUGACUUUCUAAACUUUGUAAACUUACUCUGUGUCAGUAUUAUGUUAAAUGCUAACCACGUGAUGCCUUUGAUCCGAUUUACCUUGCGUGGAGCAGUACUCUUCUAGGGGCAUUGUUGGAAACCCACACGUUUCUUGCCACCAGACAAUCUUGAUAAACAUGAACCCGGGAUCUUAUGUGCACGCCUCUGUUUUUAGUGGAUUUAAGGCUCUCCUUUUACAAAUCUCUCCACUUGUGGGAAGGGUCCUCUGUCCUUUAAUUUUUUAGUUGCCUUGCUUGGGAUCCUCAUCAACGAAGCCAAUAUCUACAAUGGUGGUUGAUUAUUUGCCUAAAGAUUUGGUACUCAACAUCUUGUUCAAAUUACCCCUAAUAUCAUGUGUUGUUAGAUUCAGUUAAUUUACUCUCAAAUCAUUGGUGAUUUGGAUAACUAUGGCCAUAUCUCGAUGCCUCACAAGCUAAUAUUGAUUUUUGGGAACAUGAAGGAGAAUAUCAUGAUUUUGAAAGGAUCAUAUAGGUGAGGAGGAUGAGGAAAUCAAGGAUCUCUUCAAGAUGGGUAAGAAAAGGAAGAAGAACGUGAGGAUUCCUGCAGAAAUUGCUGCAUUGUUAGUCGAGAAUGUCAUGGCAGAGCUUGAAGUUACCGCUGAGGAGGAUGCAGAACUUAAUAGAAGAGGAAAACCCGCUAUCAAUAAACUCAAGAAGUUGCCUCUUCUUACUGAGGUCCUUCCCAAGAAGCAGCUCCAGCAAGAAUUUAUAGAUCAUGGAGUACUAACUCUGUUGGAAAGUGGGCUUGAACCUCUUCCAGAUGGAAGUUUGCCCAAUAUCAAUAUCCGCGCAGCGGGUUUGAAGAUUGACUGAUUUUCCAAUUGAUCUAGAUGAUAGACUUGAACGCUUGAAGUGGUCUUGGAAAGAGUCGGCCCAUAUUUAAUAAGAGCACGGUUUCAGGACAUGAGAAAUAUUGAUGAUGAUCGGGCCUAUCAAAGGCCAACAGUAAGAAGGUUUUUUCUUCUAAAUGUGCUUCAUUUUUUGCCAUUAAGUCAAAGAUAUGUGCAUCUAAUUUAUAAGAUUAUAAUUUGCCUAUGCAUAUUGAUGUGCUCUACGUGGGUUUUUAUUUUAUACAUAAAUUCUGGAGUGAUAAACAAAUGUAAGAGUAAAUGCAGUUCAAAUAGAAAAAUAAGUAAAAGAUCAUAUUAAAGAACAAAAAGGAUCUUCACCUUAUCACACUAGUACAGGUUAUACUUCUCUAUCAAAUGGUUCAACAAAUUGGUAGAUUUGUUAUGAACUUUUAAUUUUAUAAAUAUUGUCAAGCAUUUAUGUGUAUAAAUAUG